GCGGAUAUGGCGGAACGGUAGACGCGCAUGUUUGAGGGGCAUGUGGCUUAAAGGCUGUGUGAGUUCAAAUCUCAUUGUCCGCACCA
rnacentral:tRNA from 2 species